GCUCAGGACGAACGCUGGCGGCGUGCCUAAUACAUGCAAGUAGAACGCUGAAGAGAGGAGCUUGCUCUUCUUGGAUGAGUUGCGGACGGGUGAGUAACGCGUAGGUAACCUGCCUUGUAGCGGGGGAUAACUAUUGGAAACGAUAGCUAAUACCGCAUAACAAUGGAUGACUCAUGUCAUUUAUUUGAAAGGGGCAAAUGCUCCACUACAAGAUGGACCUGCGUUGUAUUAGCUAGUAGGUGAGGUAACGGCUCACCUAGGCGACGAUACAUAGCCGACCUGAGAGGGUGAUCGGCCACACUGGGACUGAGACACGGCCCAGACUCCUACGGGAGGCAGCAGUAGGGAAUCUUCGGCAAUGGGGGCAACCCUGACCGAGCAACGCCGCGUGAGUGAAGAAGGUUUUCGGAUCGUAAAGCUCUGUUGUAAGUCAAGAACGAGUGUGAGAGUGGAAAGUUCACACUGUGACGGUAGCUUACCAGAAAGGGACGGCUAACUACGUGCCAGCAGCCGCGGUAAUACGUAGGUCCCGAGCGUUGUCCGGAUUUAUUGGGCGUAAAGCGAGCGCAGGCGGUUUGAUAAGUCUGAAGUUAAAGGCUGUGGCUCAACCAUAGUUCGCUUUGGAAACUGUCAAACUUGAGUGCAGAAGGGGAGAGUGGAAUUCCAUGUGUAGCGGUGAAAUGCGUAGAUAUAUGGAGGAACACCGGUGGCGAAAGCGGCUCUCUGGUCUGUAACUGACGCUGAGGCUCGAAAGCGUGGGGAGCGAACAGGAUUAGAUACCCUGGUAGUCCACGCCGUAAACGAUGAGUGCUAGGUGUUGGAUCCUUUCCGGGAUUCAGUGCCGCAGCUAACGCAUUAAGCACUCCGCCUGGGGAGUAC
rnacentral:rRNA from 1 species